UUUUUUGAUGUCGUUUCCUGGAAGUGUUCCCCACACUCGCUCCACUCCAGCCACUCUGGCUUCCUUGCUGCUCUUUGAACACACCUAUUUAAAUGUGAGCCUCUCUGCCUCCAAACUACAGCCUCCAUGCUAUUCCGUUUUCCACCUUAUUCUCCUCCAGCACUUUUAAGUACCAUCUGACCAACUACAGUUUGGUUCAUUUUCUUUUAAUUUCCCUGUGUCUUUCCAUGAGGAUAUAAGUUCCUCAAAGGUAGUAAUUUUUUUCUGUCAAUUUCACUGCUGUCUAUGGCCAUACCACCCUGAAUGCACCCAAUCUCAUCUGAAUUUCACUGCUUUAUCCCCCAUACCUGGAAUCAUGCCUGGCCUGUAUUAGGCACUAAGUAUUUGUUGUUGAAUAAAAUAAAUAAUUUUGGAAGAUAAGUGUUUCGAAGACAGUGAUAUAGAGCAGCAUUUCUCAUGGUUGCUCGUGGGAAAUUUUACAACCCAUGGGACACCGGCAAUGUCUGGAGACAUUUUUCUUGUCACAGCCAGGAGGUUCUACGGGCACUUAGUGGGUAGAGGCCAGGGAUGCCACUAGUACACCAGACAGUCCCCCCAUAACAAAGAUUCAUCUGGGUCAGGUGCAGUGGCUCAUGCCUAUAAUCUCAGCACUUUGGGAGGCCAAAGUGAGUGGAUCACUUGAGGUCAGGAGUUCGAGACCAGCCUGGCCAACAUGGUGAAACCCCACCUCUACUAUAAACACAAAAAUUAGCUGGGUGUGAUGGUGGUAGGCGCCUGUAAUCCCAGCUAUUUGGGAGGCUGAGGCACGAGAAUCGCUCGGACCCAGGAGGCAGAGGCUGCAGUGAGCUGAGAUCGUGCCACUACACUUCAGCCUGGGCAAUAGAGCGAGACUCCAUCUCAAAACAAACAAACAAAAAACAACAACAACAACAACAAAAACAAAGAUUCAUCUGGCCACAAAUACCACUAGUGGAACCCUAACAGAAAAGCAAGUUUUGAGGGAAUUGGAUUCUUCUAGAAAGGACCGUUUCUUUGGGUAGAGUCUCUGAGAAGACGACAUUUGAGCUAAGACCUGAAGGAUGGAAAGGCGGCAGCCAUGCUGAGAGCUGGAAUGAGCAUCCCAGAUAGAGAGGACGGCACGUGCAAAGGCCACCAAGCAGGCGUGUACUUGGGUGAUCGUGUUUCCCUCUCAUGAUCAUGGCCCUCAUCAUUCCUGGCACUGCACCCUCUGCUCUUGUCACCUUUAUCUAGUAAUGCAUGAGUGGUUGAUAUGGUCAGGCCCUGUGUCUCCACCCAGAUCUCAUCUUGAAUUGUAAUCCCCAUGUGUCAAAGGAGGAACCUGAUGGGAGGCAAUUGCAUUAUGGGGGUGGUUCCCCUAUGCUGUACUUGUGAUAGUGAGUUCUCCUGAGAUCUGAGGUUUUUUAAGGUGGCGAUUUUUCCUGUGCUUGCAACUGGACUUCUCUCUUGCCUGCCACCAUGUAAGACGUGCCUGCUUCCCUUUCCACCAUGAUUGUAAGUUUCCUGAGGCCUCCCCAGCCAUGCGGAACUGCGAGUCAAUUAAACCUCUUUUCUUCAUAAAUUACCCAGUCUCGGGAAUGUCUUUAUAGCAGGGUGAGGAUGGACUAAUACAAUGGGAUUCUUCAGGUGUUCAGACCCCAAGUGCCCUCGCUUUCUUCCCUCCAUGCCCUCUGGACUCUCUGACUCGUACUAACACACUUUGGAACCAUGAUGUGGUCCUGUUGACCUGCCUGUGCCCCAAGGUUCCUGAAGAUCACCACUAGCACAGAGUGAAUAAUGGCAAAAUUC
rnacentral:lncRNA from 10 species